UGUAUUUAUGAAAACAUUGACUAUAUUUCUCCAGAUGUAUGAAAUGUUUAUCAAAGUAUGAAUUCCAUUUUAGCAUGUUAUCUUCAAAAUGAGGGACCUCUCAAAUUUACAAUUCCAAGAUCAGGAAAUAAUUCAUGAGCAGCAACAUGCUACUGGGAGAAAGGAAAAUAGUAGAAGACUGCCUGCAUGAGAAUAAAAGUUUUGGACUCUGAAAAGGAAGAUGUGACAAAAUAUAUAUUUGGACAGUUGUUGAUUUCCACAGAAACACAUGUCCAGUAACAAGAAAGCGGAGCACAGUUUCAUGUCAGUUCAAAUCUUUAAAUUCAAGGAUGAACAAUUGGUUCUUUAUAAAACAAAAUGACAUGUUUGAAAAGGAUUUUGGUGAAAUGUACUCUGUCCUGGAUACUUAUUUAUGUGUAUGGGAUUUGCAGGAUAGACUAUGAACAACAGAUACUGUCACGAAAUUUGAUGUUUUUGAUUAUAUGUUUGUAUAAAAAUGUUUGGUAUAGUAAUAAACAAAGUUUAAUUCAA